AACGAACGCUGGCGGCAGGCUUAACACAUGCAAGUCGAGCGCCCCGCAAGGGGAGCGGCAGACGGGUGAGUAACGCGUGGGAAUCUACCCAUCUCUACGGAGUAAAGCAUGGAAACGUGUGCUAAUACCGUAUACGUCCUUCGGGAGAAAGAUUUAUCGGAGAUGGAUGAGCCCGCGUUGGACUAGCUAGUUGGUGGGGUAAAGGCCUACCAAGGCGACGAUCCAUAGCUGGUCUGAGAGGAUGAUCAGCCACACGGGGACUGAGACACGGCCCAGACUCCUACGGGAGGCAGCAGUGGGGAAUAUUGGACAAUGGGCGCAAGCCUGAUCCAGCCAUGCCGCGUGAGUGAUGAAGGCCCUAGGGUUGUAAAGCUCUUUCACCGGUGAAGAUAAUGACGGUAACCGGAGAAGAAGCCCCGGCUAACUUCGUGCCAGCCGCCGCAGUAACAC
rnacentral:rRNA from 1 species